UAGCUUCGGCCUCCGCCCUGGGAUGGGCCCGCGGCGCAUUAGCUUGUUGGUGUGGGUAACGGCCCACCAAGGCGACGAUGCGUAGCUGGUCUGAGAGGACGAUCAGCCACACUGGGACUGAGACACGGCCCAGACUCCUACGGGAGGCAGCAGUGGGGAAUCUUGCGCAAUGGGCGGAAGCCUGACGCAGCAACGCCGCGUGUGGGAAGACGGCUUUCGGGUUGUAAACCACUUUCAGGGGGGACGAAGCUUCCGAGGUUAAUAGCCUACGGGGUGACGGUACCCCCAGAAGAAGCCCCGGCUAACUACGUGCCAGCAGCCGCGGUAAUACGUAGGGGGCGAGCGUUGUCCGGAAUCAUUGGGCGUAAAGCGCGUGUAGGCGGCUUGAUAAGUCUGGUGUGAAAUCUUGGGGCUCAACCCCAAACCUGCACUGGAUACUGUCAAGCUUGAGUCCGGGAGGGGAGAGCGGAAUUCCUAGUGUAGCGGUGAAAUGCGCAGAUAUUAGGAAGAACACCGGUGGCGAAGGCGGCUCUCUGGAACGGUACUGACGCUGAGACGCGAAAGCGUGGGGAGCGAACAGGAUUAGAUACCCUGGUAGUCCACGCCGUAAACGAUGGGCACUAGAUGUGGGCGGUGUCGACUCCGUCCGUGUCGAAGCUAACGCAUUAAGUGCCCCGCCUGGGGAGUACGGCCGCAAGGCUAAAACUCAAAGGAAUUGACGGAAUCGAAUU
rnacentral:rRNA from 1 species